UACGUAGGGUGCAAGCGUUAAUCGGAAUUACUGGGCGUAAAGCGUGCGCAGGCGGUUCUAUAAGACAGAUGUGAAAUCCCCAGGCUUAACCUGGGAAGUGCGCGGAAAACUGGCGAGCUUGAGUGCCGGAGAGGGUCGCGGAAUUCCCGGUGUAGAGGUGAAAUUCGUAGAUAUCGGGAGGAACACCAGUGGCGAAGGCGGCGACCUGGACGGACACUGACGCUGAGACGCGAAAGCGUGGGGAGCAAACAGG
rnacentral:rRNA from 1 species